rnacentral:lncRNA from 1 species
AACCAUGAGGUUGCUGGUUCGAUCCCUGGCCUUGCUCAGUGGGUUAAGGAUCCCGCUUUGCCGUGAGCCGUGGUGUAGGUUGCAGAUGCGGCUGGGAUCCCGCAUUGCUGUGGCUCUGGCAUAGGCCGGCAGCUACAGCUCUGAUUCGACCCCUAGCCUGGGAACCUCCAUAUGCCGUGCCAGCAGCCCAAGAAAUGGCAAAAAAAAAAAAAAAAAGAAAGAAAGUAUUUCUCUAGGGUAUCCUAGAAUAUGAAAAAAAAUUUUUUUCUACUAAAUAGCUAUGUGUCAUCCAAUCUUUGGACAAAAUUUGAUUUUACUUACUAUUUAUCAUGCCCAGUCUUAUUUUACCUUAAUGUCAGAUAGGUGGGUAGAUAGAUAGAUAAAUAGAUCGAUUGAUCUUAAUGUCAGGCAGGUAGAUAGGUAGGUACAUAGAUAUAUAUAUAUUUACAUUUAUAUUUUUUAAUUCUUAGCACUAAAAGGAGAAAGAUAUUUGGUAAUUUCUUUAAAGUAUGUUUUUUUCUAAAUUAUCAUAUAGCCAGGUUUUGCGUUUUAACUUUGUCUGGAACACCCUCUAAGAGGAAUCCACUUAUCACUGUGUAGAGUGACAACUGAUGUACUUCAUUGGAUUUCUUCCAUAUAUACUUUAUAUUCAUGAUUUUAUUUUGUCAUUUGUUCUUUUCCCUUUCCUUUAUGUUUACUGAUUUGUUCAAUUACUAUUAAUUUCAUUUUUUAGUUUAUUUCCUUUUGUGUCUUGUUAAUAUGGAAAUGAUGUUUUUUUAUUUUAAUGCUUAUUAUCUAACACAUAUUUCUCCACAAUUAUAUGAAGGCUUUAAAAUGUUUUAAUUCCCCAUCCCAUUUCCCCCUCCCAAGUGAAGUCCUUAGGGUGCUUUUACUUUCCUUUACCCUCUUCCAACUCGAUUUUGCUGACAUAGUUCAAUACGCUUAGUUCUAUAUUUAUUAGAUUUUCCCCUUGCCAUAUGUCUCUUCUGUUUUAAGGAUCCUUACUUCAUAGUUGCCUUACAAAUUCCCACGCACACAAUCAUUAUCCAUUUAGUUUUAACGUGUAUCACAAGGCAAUAUAUUGAACUGUUUUCUAUUCAUCAUCUUCUGUCUUGAGAUUUCCAUUGUGAUUCAUAUGUUGUUUGGUUCAAGUACUUUCUUGAGUAUUUUCAUCAGAUGGGCUAUAGGAGUGGUAUUAUCUCUCAUUAUUGUAUAUCCACAAUUUUUUUUUCGUACAUGCAUGAUGUAUGAUAAACCUGAUUGGGCGUAGAAUUGUUUGUAGGCAAUCUUUUUCUCUCUGUCCUUAGUAUUCUACUCUCUUCCAGUUUCAAGUAUUACAGAUAAGAACUAAGAUGUCAAUCUGAUUCUUUUUCUUUGCUAAGUAACUCCUUCUUUCUUUCUAGAAAUUUGUAAUAUUUUCUCUUAAUCCUAAUAAUAUAGGAAUUUUAGCAAAAUAUGUCUAGUUGUAUGCCUUACUUUGAUUAAUCUACCUAGAACUUAGGGAGCCCUUUCACUCAUGUACUUAAUUCUUUGAAUCAGGGAAAUUAUGUUAUUUUUUUAUUCCUAACUUCCAUUUGUCUUUUUUCCCCUUUUUUUCUUUUUCUUGUAAUUAUUAUAGUCUUUACCUGAUAGUUCUCUUGGUGUUACUUUCCAAGUUUGUUUUUCCUGAUGAUUUCCCUCUUUGUACAUUUGUUCUAUAUUUUGAGAUAUUUGUUCCAGGAAGGCUCAACAAGUACAUACUUUAUUUCAGUUCUUCUAUUUAAAAACAACAACAACAACAACAACAAAACUAUUGUGGUAAGAUAUACAUGACUUAAGAUUUACCAUCUUAAUCAAAUUUUUAGUUAUUAUAAAGUAUUGGCUAUAUUGUCCAUGUUGUAUCCUUGUACCUGAUUUUAUACAUAAUAGCUGGUACCCCAUCCUCUACCUUCCCUAUAGUGCCCCUUCCCUCUCCCCACUGAUAAUCAUUAGUUUGUUCUCCAUUUCUAAAUUUAAAAAUCAGAUUUCCAAAUUCCAGAAUAUAUUUUAAAGCUGAGUAUUUUUAUUUUGUUAAUUUUUUUUUUUCUUUCUCCUCCAGCAAUUCCAGUCUACUAGGUACUUCUCAGGUCUCAAGGUUCUGUUUGCUCUUUCUUUCUCUGAUUAUUGGGAUGCCUUGUAUACAUUUUUAUUUUUCUCGCCUAAAAAUGUCUGUUUAACCUUUGAGUGGUGAGAGGCCUAACACUGUCUGCUCUGUGAUCUUAAAUAUACCAACUGGCAAGCUCAUUCACUAUUUCUUAAAGCAAUGAAGGAUUAUUUAGGUAAAGUUCUCCUUAGGAAUAGAGAAUAAGUCUGUCCAUCUUUAUAUCUGCGUGGAAGGGCUUCUGCAAACAUCAGCCACAACCCCUAGGACUGCAUACAUUACUCUACACUUACUUUUAACAAAGGCCAAGAUCUUUCGGGACCUAGGACUUUUGGUGAUAUUCUCUGGCCUGUCAGACACAGAUCCUCCAGUCUCUGUCAGUCCCACAAUGGCACAAAAUUGGGUUCUUGGUCCUUCUUUCCAGAAUCCCUGCAUAUCGCAUGGCCUUGCACAUUUUCUGAGCUGUCCAGUCACCAACCUGGUGCUCAUCCUAGGAAAGGCUACUAAAAUUGGGAGAUGAAAGCACCAGGGACACACUCUCAGGCAGCCACUUUCUCAACAGUUUAACUGAAAAUAACUUGUUUAAUUUUAAAUUUCAGCUUUUCCAGAGAACUAUAGACUCAUAGUCUUAAACGUAUUCCAGCUGUGAUAUGGUUUUCAAAUAAAGAACCAGAGACGAUCUAUAUUCUGCAUUUCAUUACAUUCAGAUUGAAUUUAUAACUUGAAGGACGGAGGGAAGAAAUGGUCCUAGACAAAUUUUAAGUAGAAAAAGAAGUAUGAAUUUUGGCUAAGAGAAAUUUUAGGAAAUUCGAUACUGACAAAGCUUACAAAUGAACAAAAUAGAUGGAGUGUGAUAAGACAGUGGUCUCCUUCUGGGUGCAUUUGUUGUGACCAACACCAAGGACUUGGAGUCUCCUUCCAGAAAACCUUUGUCCUGUAGCUCUCUUAAUAUCUCCUUUAUUAAACAGAAGUCAGUGAAGCAGCCCUUAGGUCAACAAAGUUACUUGACUAAAAUGUAAGGUUUUUAUCUAAUUGCUAAGACUUGCUUCUCCUUUUAAUUUCCUUUAAAGUCUCUGCCCAGGAUCUGUAAAUCCUCCUCUUUUUAACCAAAUGAUCUGUUCCUCCUGAUUUUCUCACUUAACAUAUAGCAUUUGCAUUCACACCUCAUAUACAUACAUAAUCCAUGCUAAGUGCAAUCUUUAUGAAACUUUUAUAAUGUUAUGCAAUACUAACUUUUUUAUUGUGAAACCCAUUCUGCACCUAAUUUUAAACCCACCCAUAUCUUGACCAUUAUUUCUGUUUUAUUCUGGGCUCCCUUCAACUAGGGCCAUUCUACUGUACUCCACAGAGACCUGCAUUACCCCUUUCUUGUUCUUUUGUGGUUAUCUCCCCUCUUCCUAGGGCAUCGUCCUUUCCCAUUUUGCCCUGCCCUUCCAGGUCCAUGUGUGAUGGAUAAAACUAUGUAUUAAUAUCAGAUUGUGAAUUGCAAAUUUUUAUCAAAAGAAUGAUUAAAAAGAAACUUUAAUCUCAAGUAAAAAUGGAAGACAAAAAUAAGACUAAUAAAAUGUAGUACCAGUAGCAGUAGUAACCUAAUAUUUACAGAUUUCCUACUGAGGCCUCAUGCACAAUGUCACAUGAGUUCUAAGACUUAUAUGUGUUUUUACACAUUUUAUUCUUGGGCAGUCCUGUGAGAUACUUCUACUAUUAUGAUGAUUUUACAAAUGUAAAAAAUGAGGCAUUUGAAAAGUAAAGACAUUUGUCCACAGUCGCAUUCAAAUCCAAGCAGUAUAACCAGAGAGUUCAGGUUUGUUUUUCAAUCAUAAUAUAGGAAGAUAUAUGUUUAUCAAAUAAUUUUAUUUAAUUCAUUAUGAAUAAAUCAAUUUUAAAAUGGCAUGUCCAUAUAAAUUUUCUGAAUGUAGCAUAUAGCUACAUGGCAGGACAUACCAAUAUAGUAGAAUGUUCCCUAAGUAAACAUAAUGAGGAAAUUUGUACAUAAAGGGAUUGUUGUGUUACCAAAGAAAUUUUACAAUAUUUUGUACUAUUUCUGUGAAAAAUGCCACUGGUAAUUUGAUAGCGAUUGAAUUGAAUCUCUAGAUUUCUUUGGGUAAUAUAAUCAUUUUGACAAUAUUGAUUCUUCCAUUCCAAGAGCAUGGCAUAUCUUUCAAUAUGUUUGUGUCAUCUUUGAUUUCUUUCAUUAGCAUCUAGGAGCUUUCAGAGUACAGGUCUUUCAUCUCUUUAAGUAGGUUUAUUCCUAGGUAUUUUAUUCUUUUUGAUGCCAUAGUAAGUAGAGUUGUUUCCCUAAUUUCUUUUUCUCAUUUUUCAUUGUUAGUAUAGAAAAAUCCAGUCAAUUUUUGUGCAUUAAUUUUAUAUCCUGCAACUUUACCAAAUUCAUUGGUGAGCUCUAACAGUUAACUAAUAGUGUCUUUAGGGUUUUCUAGGUAUAAUACCGCAUCAUCUGCAAACAUUGAUUGUUUUACUUCUUCCUUUCUUAUUUGGAUUCCUUUUUCUUCUCUGAUUGCUAUGGCUAGGACUUCCAAAACUAUGUUGAACAGAAGUGGCAAGAGCUUACAUCCUUGUCUUGUUCCUGAUUUUAUUGGGAAUUCUUUCAGCUUUUCACUGGGAAAACUGGACAGCUACAUGUAAAAGAAUGAAAUUAGAACACUCUCUAACACCAUACACAAAAUUAAAUUCAAAAUGGAUUAAAGACCUAAAUGUAAAACCAGAUACUAUAAAACUCUUAGAGGAAAACAUAGGCCAGACAUUCUCUGACGUAAACCACAGCAAUAUUUUCUCAGAUCCACCUAGAGUAAUGACAAUGGGAUAGAUUGGGAGCUUGGGGUUAAUAGAUGCAGACUAUUGCCUUUGAAAUGAUUGGCAAUGAGACCCUUCUAUGUAGCACUGGGAACUAUGUCUAGUCACUUAUGUUGGAGCAUGAUAAUGUGAGAAAAAAUAAUGUAUGCAUGCAUGUGUAACUGGGUCACCAUGCUGUACAGUAGAAAAAAAAAUGAUGUAUUGGGGAAAUAAAAAAAUAAAAAUAAAAUAAAAAAACAAAAAUAAACAAAAGGGGCAUAAUUAAAAGUUUUUGCAUAAAAAAGGAAAGCAUAAACAAAACAAAAAGACAACCCACAGAAUGAGAGAAAAUAUUUGCAAAUGAAGCAACUGGCAAGGGAUUAAUCACCAAAAUAUAUAAAC